rnacentral:rRNA from 1 species
GACGAACGCUGGCGGCGUGCCUAAUACAUGCAAGUAGAACGCUGAAGGAGGAGCUUGCUUCUCUGGAUGAGUUGCGAACGGGUGAGUAACGCGUAGGUAACCUGCCUGGUAGCGGGGGAUAACUAUUGGAAACGAUAGCUAAUACCGCAUAAUAGCAGUUGUUGCAUGACAACUGUUUGAAAGGUGCAAUUGCACCACUACCAGAUGGACCUGCGUUGUAUUAGCUAGUUGGUGGGGUAACGGCUCACCAAGGCGACGAUACAUAGCCGACCUGAGAGGGUGAUCGGCCACACUGGGACUGAGACACGGCCCAGACUCCUACGGGAGGCAGCAGUAGGGAAUCUUCGGCAAUGGACGGAAGUCUGACCGAGCAACGUCGCGGGAGUGAAGAAGGUUUUCGGAUCGUAAAGCUCUGUUGUAAGAGAAGAACGAGUGUGAGAGUGGAAAGUUCACACUGUGACGGUAUCUUACCAGAAAGGGACGGCUAACUACGUG